UACGGAGGGGGCUAGCGUUGCUCGGAAUUACUGGGCGUAAAGCGCACGUAGGCGGGUUGUUAAGUCAGGUGUGAAAUCCCGGAGCUCAACUCCGGAACUGCCUUUGAUACUGGCAAUCUAGAGUUCGGAAGAGGUGAGUGGAAUUCCCUGUGUAGAGGUGAAAUUCGUAGAUAUUGGGAAGAACACCAGUGGCGAAGGCGGCUCACUGGUCCGAUACUGACGCUGAGGUGCGAAAGCGUGGGGAGCAAACAGG
rnacentral:rRNA from 1 species